GACGAACGCUGGCGGCGUGCUUAACACAUGCAAGUCGAACGGAAAGGCCCUGCUUUUGUGGGGUGCUCGAGUGGCGAACGGGUGAGUAACACGUGAGUAACCUGCCCUUGACUUUGGGAUAACUUCAGGAAACUGGGGCUAAUACCGGAUAGGAGCUCCUGCUGCAUGGUGGGGGUUGGAAAGUUUCGGCGGUUGGGGAUGGACUCGCGGCUUAUCAGCUUGUUGGUGGGGUAGUGGCUUACCAAGGCUUUGACGGGUAGCCGGCCUGAGAGGGUGACCGGCGACAUUGGGACUGCGGUACGGAGCAGACGCGAACGGUAGGCAGCAGUGGGGAGUAUUGCACAAUGGGCGGAAGCGUGAUGCAGCAACGCCGGGUGCGGGAUGACGGCCUUCGGGUAGUAAACCGCUUUCGCCUGUGACGAAGCGUGAGUGACGGUAAUGGGUAAAGAAGCACCGGCUAACUACGUG
rnacentral:rRNA from 1 species